rnacentral:rRNA from 1 species
CCUACGGGAGGCAGCAGUCGAGAAUCAUUCACAAUGGGGGAAACCCUGAUGGUGCGACGCCGCGUGGGGGAAUGAAGCUCUUCGGAUUGUAAACCCCUGUCAUGUGGGAGCAAAUUAAAAAGAUAGUACCACAACAGGAAGAACCGGCUAACUCUGUUCCAGCAGCCGCGGUAAUACAGAGGUCUCAAGCGUUGUUCGGAAUCACUUGGCGUAAAUCGUGCGUAGGCUGUUGUGUAAGUCGUGUGUGAAAGGCGCGGGCUCAACCCGCGAACGGCCCAUGAUACUGCGAGGCUAGAGAAAUGGAGGGGGAACCGGAAUGCUCGGUGUAGCAGUGAAAUGCGUAGAUAUC